rnacentral:rRNA from 1 species
CACAGCACUUUGCCAACUCGUAAGAGGAAGUAUAAGGUGUGACGCCUGCCCGGUGCUCGAAGGUUAAGAGGAUGCGUCAGUCGCAAGAUGAAGCGUUGAAUUGAAGCCCGAGUAAACGGCGGCCGUAACUAUAACGGUCCUAAGGUAGCGAAAUUCCUUGUCGGUUAAAUACCGACCUGCAUGAAUGGCGUAACGAGAUGGGAGCUGUCUCAACCAGAGAUUCAGUGAAAUUGUAGUGGAGGUGAAAAUUCCUCCUACCCGCGGCAAGACGGAAAGACCCCGUGGACCUUUACUACAACUUAGCACUGCUAAUGGGAAUAUCAUGCGCAGGAUAGGUGGGAG